UACGUAGGGUGCGAGCGUUGUCCGGAAUUACUGGGCGUAAAGCGCUCGCAGGCGGAUCGAUAAGUCAGGGGUGAAAUCCCGGGGCUCAACCUCGGAAUUGCCUUUGAUACUGUCAAUCUCGAGUCCGGGAGAGGUGAGUGGAAUUCCUAGUGUAGAGGUGAAAUUCGUAGAUAUUCGCAGGAACACCAGUGGCGAAGGCGGCUUACUGGUCCAUUACUGACGCUGAGGUGCGAAAGCGUGGGGAGCAAACAGG
rnacentral:rRNA from 1 species